rnacentral:rRNA from 1 species
GACGAACGCUGGCGGCGUGCUUAACACAUGCAAGUCGAACGGAAAGGCCCUGCUUUUGUGGGGUGCUUGAGUGGCGAACGGGUGCGUAACACGUGCGUAACCUUCCCUUGACUCUGGGAUAACUUCAGGAAACUGGGGCUAAUACCGGUACGGCGCACCUGAUGCAUGGUGGUGGUUGGAAAGUUUCGGCGGUUGGGGAUGGACUCGCGGCUUAUCAGCUUGUUGGUGGGGUAGUGGCUUACGAAGGCUUUGACGGGUAGCCGGCCUGAGAUGGUGACCGGCCACAUUGGGACUGAGGGACGGACCAGACUCCUACGGGAGGCAGCAGUCGGGAAUAUUGCAGAAUGAGCGGAAGCCUGAUGCAGAAGCGCCGCGUGCGGGAUGACGGCCUUCUGGUUGUGAACCGCUUACGCCUGUAACGAAGCGUGAGUGACGGUAAUGAGUAAAGAAGCACCGGCUAACUACGUG